rnacentral:lncRNA from 1 species
CCCGGCUGCACUAAAAAUAGAAAAAUUAGCUGGGCAUAGUUUCAUGCACCUUUAGUCCCAGCUACUCAGGCUGAGGCAGAAGAACUGCUUGAACCUGGGAGGCAGAAAUUGCAGUGAGCCGAGAGCCACUCCACUCCAACCUGGGCAACAGAGCAAGACUCCGUCUCCAGAAAAAAAAGAGAGAGAAGGGGGUUAGGAUUGGAAUGGGACACACAAAAAGGACUUCUAAGGUAAGGAGCUGGUUGAAUUCAAGCAUGCAAAACCCAUGGGUAUAGAAGGCCAACUGUAAUAAUUUUGUCUGCUCCAUGAAGAAUAACGAAUAGACUCAAAGGGAUAAUCAAAGAAGCAGCAAGACCACUUAGGAAGCUCCUGCAAUCAUCCAGGAGAUUAUUUUAAACUUGAUGGAUCAAUCCUCUUAAGGAUAACGAAUUUGGAUUUGCAAGAAUUCAAGGCAAUUCCGGCUAAAAGGCCACCAGCUAUGCAAGGCCACAAGUUAUGCACUAUAUGAUUAACUACCUUUGUUUUGCUCUUAUGAGCCCACUUAUAAAAACCUCGCUCUGUCUUUAUUCAAGGCCCAGCUUUUUGGAGGUAAAUCCACUGAGCCGGUGUGUACCUCACAAUAAAUAUCCUCCUGUAUUCACGCAUACUGGUCUCUCUAAUCCUCUGCGUCCCGCAACAAGCUGAGAGCGCGCCACUGCACUUGCAGUCUUGCACAUAGCAAGACUAUGUCUCAACAACAACAAAAAAGGGUCUCGCUCUGUUGCCAAGGCUGGAGUGCAGUGGAGUGAUCUCGGCUCACAGCAACCUCAGCAUCCUGAGUUCAAGCACGUCUCAUGCCUCAGCCUCCCAAGUAGCUGGGAUUAUAGGCACGCGCCACCACACCAGGCUAAUUUUUGUAUUUUUUUUUUAUACUUUAAGUUUUAGGGUACAUGUGCACAUUGUGCAGGUUAGUUACAUAUGUAUACAUGUGCCAUGCUGGCGCACUGAACCCACUAACUCGUCAUCUAGCAUUAGGUAUAUCGCCUGAUGCUAUCCCUCCCCCCUCCCCCUACCCCACAACAGUCCCCAGAGUGUGAUAUUCCCCUUUCUGUGUCCAUGUGAUCUCAUUGUUCAAUUCCC